rnacentral:ncRNA from 1 species
GACUUAUAGGAGGGUUUGAUUAUGGCCCUAGAUUUAUUAACAAAACGCUUCUCAUGAUAUUAAUUGCAGACUUGAGUUAAAUACAGUCUAACUCAACAUCAGUGGGGAGAAUUGGUUAAUAAAGGAAACUUUAACCCAGCUUUUUGGUUGCUUCGGGGCCAAUUGAUGAAUGCCAGCAGCCGCGGUUAGAUUCAGUUCGAAUAUAAAUUUAAGCGGAUUGGUUAGAGUCAAGGUGUUGUUUGUAAAACUAUAAAAAAAUAUAGGUGCAGUGUAAUGUUGACGGUUUUUUGUGGUUACAUUCCUAAAGUUUAGUAGGUUUCUAACGAAUCUAUGAAGUGAAACCAGGAUUAGAUACCCAGUUAUCCAUAGUUUAAAAUAGAGUUUCCACUUAACUAAACAUUUGGUUGUCAAAGAGAAAUAAAUAGGCGGUGUCUGAAUUAGAAAACAGGGGAUCCUGGGUGUUAAAGGACAAUCCACCCACAUUUGAGCCUUAGCUUAUUAGUGCGUGUGUAUGGUUGUUUACUCUAAUAUGGUAAGUGUCCGGGUGCAAGUUUUGGUGAUUAGCUAAACCAAAGUUAUUGUUAGUAACUGAAGUUAGUAAAAAUACUUGGUUUGGAUUUAGUGUGGCUACUAAUAUGGGUCUAUGGUCCUUGUAGCAUAGCUUCAAAAAUAAUUCAGAUUGACAUGCAGCUUAUGCUAAGGUCAGCCUGGGAUACAGAUGCAAUUAAGCAGUAACUUAAAAUCUUAUUUAUUUUGAAUAAAUAAAAUAAACUGACGAAUAAGGUAAGAAAACUUCACUUUGAAGAAGGACUUGUAAGUAAGGGCUAAAAAUAAAGUUGUCCUGAAUACAAUCAGAUGAGUACUAAUCGCCCGUCGCUCGCGGGGAAACCUGUGAAAAGUCGUAACAAGGUAGCAGUAACGGAAGUUGUUGCUAGACUAUAAAU